UGCAAGGUAAGACUCACUAAGGGCCACAAAUUCCAGCUGGACCCCAGCUGCCCUCUGAUAUCUGCUCCUAAUUGUCAAAUAUUAACUCAUUUGCAUGGAGGGGCUGGUCUAGGAUGCAGCUUCACCAGUUCCUCUGCAGUAUGUCCUCUCUAUGGUGAAACACUGACAU